rnacentral:rRNA from 1 species
CUACGGGCUGCUGCAGUGGGGAAUAUUGCGCAAUGGGGGAAACCCUGACGCAGCAACGCCGCGUGAGUGAUGAAGGUCUUAGGAUUGUAAAGCUCUGUCUUCUGGGACGAUAAUGACGGUACCAGAGGAGGAAGCCACGGCUAACUACGUGCCAGCAUGCCGCGGUAAUACGUAGGUGGCGAGGCGUUGUCCGGAUUUACUGGGCGUAAAGGGUGCGUAGGCGGAUGUUUAAGUGAGAUGUGAAAUACCCGGGCUUAACUUGGGUGCUGCAUUUCAAACUGGAUAUCUAGAGUGCAGGAGAGGAAAGCGGAAUUCCUAGUGUAGCGGUGAAAUGCGUAGAGAUUAGGAAGAACACCAGUGGCGAAGGCGGCUUUCUGGACUGUAACUGACGCUGAGGCACGAAAGCGUGGGGAGCAAACAGGAUUAGAUACCCCGGUAGUC